GACGAGGUUGAAGUAGCUAAAAAUGUCUUGAUGAAUUUGUUUCUAACCAACAUGCAGCUUUUUGCUUCACUAUACGUUACUUAAUGGAUUACUUGAUGGAUUAUUGUGAUGUUUUUAUCAGCUGUUUGGACUCUUAAUCUGACGGCACCCAUUCACUGCAGAGGAUCCAUAAGUGAGCAAGUGAUGUAAUGAAUUUCUCCAAAUCUGUUCUGAUGAAGAAACAAACUCAACAAACUACAUCUUGGAUUUCCUGCAUGCGGGCUUUAAAGAAUGUGCUAAUGUGGCCAGACUAGCCACUUCCUGUUUACUUCUGCAUGUCAGAUGGGUCAGAAGUGAUACAGCGACUGAGGACCAAAACAGACCUCAAGAAUGUGGAGGCUAAUGGAGGAAUGCCAGUUUAUUUACCAAAACUAAUUUACACUGAAUGAUUUACUGGACUCUGAGAUCACUUCUUGUCAUAGACCUGCACCUCCUACUGUGUGAAGUCAAGUCAUUCCCUCCUCCAGCUAGUAUGGAUGAGCUUCAUGGUUCCCCCAAACACAAUCGCGCUGACUUGGAGCCUGUCCCAGCCCGGCACCGGAAUGAUCCAAGUCUUAGGGGAAAUAAGACGACAGUUCAUUGCAGUAACCACUGAAGUCAUCAUUCAAGCAUCCAUCAAAAUAUACCAACAAUUCCACCCUCUGUCUCCAUUUAGACAAGAUUUGGUUAAGCUUUUAAGUAACUUGGUUAAAGAAAUGAGAUUACUUUUAUGUGUAUUUAUGACUUUAGUGGACGUGAGCUGUCAGGGUUUAGUCUUUUGCAGAUGACUAUUUCAGCUAUUGUUAACUCUAUCUGUAUUUUACAGAAUCUGUAUUUUGAUAUGAAUGGACACUGUCAACAUUUAUUUACUCAGAUGGGUUUAUUUUCAGUACUUGAAAUGUUUUAUUUCAUUGCAUGAAUAUUAGCAACUCCCUGAAAUUUAAAAGUCAAGCAGGAUAUGGUUAAAGAUCUGAGAAAGUUAGAAUCAUUUUUAUAGUAGCUCAAAUAACUCCUUUAAGCUUGC